GCUUGAGUGGCUCAGUCAGUUGAGCAUUGGACUCUUGAUUUUGGCUCAGGUCACAAUCUCAGGCUUGUGGGAUCAAGCCCCACCUCAGGCU
rnacentral:tRNA from 1 species